rnacentral:rRNA from 1 species
AGUGAACGCUGGCGGUAGGCCUAACACAUGCAAGUCGAACGGCAGCACAGUAAGAGCGUGCUCUUACGGGUGGCGAGUAGCGUACGGGUGAGGAAUACGUCGGAAUCUACGGUUUCGGGGGGGAGAACGUAGGGAAACUUACGCUAAUACCGCAUACCACCUACGGGUGAAAGAAGGGCAUCUUCGCACCUUGCCCGAAUGAAUGAGCCGAUGUCGGAGUAGCUAGUUGGCGGGGUAAAGGCCCACCACGGCGACGAUCCGUCGCUGGUCUGUGAGGCUGAUCCGCCAAACUGGAACUGAGACCCGGUCCAGACUCCUACGGGAGGCAGCAGUGGGGACUCUUGGACAAUGGGCGCACGCCUGAUCCAGCCCUACCGCGUCGGUGCAGAAGGCCUUCGGGCUGUACAGCCCUUUUGUUCGGAAAGAAAAGCAGCCGGUUACUCCCCCGCUGUUCUGACGGUACCCAAAGAAUCAGCCCCGGCUAACUUCGUG